rnacentral:rRNA from 1 species
YUACGUGCCAGCAGCCGCGGUAAUACGUAGGUCCCAAGCGUUGUCCGGAUUUAUUGGGCGUAAAGCGAGCGCAGGCGGUUAGAUAAGUCUGAAGUUAAAGGCUGUGGYUUAMCCAUAGUACGCUUUGGAAACUGUUUAACUUGAGUGCAAGAGGGGAGAGUGGAAUUCCAUGUGUAGCGGUGAAAUGCGUAGAUAUAUGGAGGAACACCGGUGGCGAAAGCGGCUCUCUGGCUUGUAACUGACGCUGAGGCUCGAAAGCGUGGGGAGCAAACAGGAUUAGAUACCCUGGUAGUCCACGCCGUAAACGAUGAGUGCUAGGUGUUAGACCCUUUCCGGGGUUUAGUGCCGCAGCUAACGCAUUAAGCACUCCGCCUGGGGAGUACGGCCGCAAGGGUGAAACUCAAAGGAAUUGACGGGGGCCCGCACAAGCGGUGGAGCAUGUGGUUUAAUUCGAUGGUACGCGAGGA